GCCGUGGUAGUCUAGUGGCCUAGGAUGGGGGCCUGUCGAGCCCCUGACCCGGGUUCAAAUCCCGGCCGCGGCG
rnacentral:tRNA from 3 species